rnacentral:misc_RNA from 1 species
GAUGAAGAACGCAGCGAAAUGCGAUACGUAAUGUGAAUUGCAGAAUUCAGUGAAUCAUCGAAUCUUUGAACGCAUAUUGCGCUCUCUGGUAUUCCGGAGAGCAUGCUUGUUUGAGUAUCAGUAAACACCUCAACUUCCAUAUCUUUUUUGAAAUGGGAGUUGGACUUGAGUGAUCCCAACGCUUUUCCUCACCGAAAAGUGGCGGGUUACUUGAAAUGCAGGUGCAGCUGGACUUUUCUCUGAGCUAUAAGCAUAUCUAUUUAGUCUGCCUAAAAAACAGAUUAUUACCUUUGCUGCAGCCAACAUAAAGGAGAUUAGUUCUUGUGCUGACUGAUGCAGGAUUCACAAAGACAGGCUUCGGCCGACUUUGUAAACUCGAUCUCAAAUCAAGUAAGACUACCCGCUGAACUUAAGCAUAUCAAUAAGCGGAGGA